ensembl:lncRNA
UAUCUCUGCUGGAAGCCAUAGUUGCUGUUUCAAAGUAAGGGGUAAAAAAAGGACAAAGUCAAUUAAAGAAAAUGAGCUAUCUGAUUUUAUCUUUAAAAUUUGGAAUUAGGCAGAAGGAAUACAGGGGAAAGAAAAAGGUAGCAGAAAUACAUUUACAAAUAAAUCUUUAAGGUCAUUUUUAUUUCACCAUGAUUUUGAAUACCACUCUAGCACAUUUUUUUUAAUUUUUCUUUCUCAUUAUGGGCAAUUGGCUGAUAGUUCAGCAUAUUUAGCAGGAGAAAGAUGCUGCUAAUUUCAUUAAACAUGCAAGUGAGAGUACUAACUCCUCUCAAAUAGAGGUUUCAUAACUUUACAGCAGAUACUAUUACUUAAAUAUUUUAUAAAUUCUGUAUUAAGCCCCUUAUCUGACGAUAAUCUGAUUAGAUUAUUUUUCCCUGAGGAACACUAACAGCAUAUAGAUUCAAAAUGUCUUUCUUCUAAAGUCCCAAUUCUUUCCCUUGUACAGAUUUGUACCAAAUGUGGGUAAGGAUCACUUUAUGACUGCUGGCAAUCCAGGAGUUUCACAGUCAAAGGAACCUACUAGAUCCAGAAAGGGCAAAGGAUUGACAGUCGAGCACAUUCUGAUGAAUUGUACCCUUAGGGAAAAAAAGAAGAAAACCAAGAAGGCCUCUGAUACCAUCUAUGGGAAGAAGCUAACAAUGAGAAAUAAUUCUUAGAAGUCCUAUUUUCUCAAAGAGGAGUUUGGAAAGGAGGAAGUGUGAUUGUGGAUUUAUAAGUCCACGUGGACUCAAUGCAAGCGGCAGAUGGUGAAUGGUGGUGGCACUGACAGUCACCACUCCCCAACUCCUGGUUUUCUUCAGCCUGGUCUUCCACUCUUGGCUGGUGCUGGUAAGCAUCUAAUGGCUAGUAAACGUCUGAUUAUAACUUACAUUCAAGACUGUAUAGUUGAGUAACAACACUUUACACAAGCGCAUGUAAGUACAAACACUGCCCGAGGUGCACUUAUGAAGUGGCUGGAAACCGGUCCUGUACAAAGUCCAUCACAGGAUUGUGCAGCAAGGUGAAAAUUCCCCAUCUUGCAUGGAGGGGUUGAGAUUUGAAAGAAGAGUGUAUUACAUAUCCAGAUUCUGACAUAAGUACAAGGAUGUGCUUCUCCCUCUCAAAGGGUCACAGUUUUAUAGCAAUUAUCUUUCCCUUCUGGCACACAGAACCAAAGAAUCUUCAAAGAAUUUGUCAGGUGUCUGGGCACAAUAUACAGAUGUGAGGAAAAGUGAUGGCAGGUGCUCUCCCAAUAUUAGUGUGGGUAGCUGAGUUUUUAUGUGCUAUGACCAGCAUUUUAGAACAUGAGUUUUCCAGCUUAAGAGUCAAUAUAUGUGCAUUUUAAAGCAUUUAUAGAACACUACCUACUGUAGCAAGAUUGAUUACCACAUUUUCAGGUAGGAAAUGACUACAUUAUCAUAAGUACUUGCUUAGGACUACUACCCGUAGCAUGUGAAAAUACGGUGAAUUUCUCCUCUGAAUGUUUCUGAAUAGAAAUCACUAUGAGAUGCCCAUUUUACCUAUGGCAAAUACUCAAACAGAAUCAGUUAUCAAAAAUUUUACUUCCACUUCCCUGGUAUUUCCUCUACUAACUGUAAUUCGUAUUCCUUCUUCCUCUUUUAGACAUACUGGCAUGCACUAAAUUGGACUCUAGAAUGUGGUAUUAUAAAGUGAUUAAAUACGGGCAAAUCAGGAUUCAAAUCCCAGCUCUACCACUGUGUGUGACCCUAGCAAUCUGAACUUCACCUGUAAAGCAGGAUACUAGAAAAUCUCUCACAAGUAUUUUCUUGAUAAUUAAAGAGAUAACUCAUAUAAAGUGCUUGAUGCAUUGUAUUAAUAAAUGUUCACUUUCAUUUUAAUAGCUAAUGCA